rfam:Gossypium raimondii Chr04_contig_1250, whole genome shotgun sequence.
CACGUCAGCGCGAGUUGCUGACGUGGAAGGAAAUUGCGUCCUUGAGGGAGCGAUGUCCUUCUACGUCAGCAACUCGCGCUGACGUGG